AUUGAACGCUGGCGGCAGGCCUAACACAUGCAAGUCGAGCGAGCGGCGGACGGGUGAGUAAUGUCUGGGAAACUGCCUGAUGGAGGGGGAUAACUACUGGAAACGGUAGCUAAUACCGCAUACCAUCAGAUGUGCCCAGAUGGGAUUAGCUAGUAGGUGGGGUAACGGCUCACCUAGGCGACGAUCCCUAGCUGGUCUGAGAGGAUGACCAGCGACACUGGAGCUGAGCAACGGUCCAGACGCCUACGGGGAGCAGCAGGGGGGAAUGUUGCACAAUGGGCGCAGGCCUGAUGCAGCCAUGCCGCGUGUGUGAAGAAGGCCUUCGGGUUGUAAAGCACUUUCGGCGGGGAGGCGUUACCCGCAGAAGAAGCACCGGCUAACUCCGUGCCAGCCGCCGCGGUAAUAC
rnacentral:rRNA from 1 species